GCAGGAAAUGUGAAGGAUGAGCUGUCAAGGAGUUUGGUGUGAGUAGGCUGACUUCAUGUCCCUGAAUUUUGUCUGUCCACAUAGCAGCUUUAUUUGAUGCUGCAGCAUUAUGCCAACCUUUGGCAACUGGCAGUGAGGCCUCAAGGGAAGAGGAGCAAGCGAGGCUUAUGUGUCACUGCAAAAUGCCACACGGUGUAGCAGUGCUUGUUUGUUUCACUCUGCAAAGGCCAAUUCUCGAGGCAAGACAAAUGACAGUUCACUUCAAAGCUAAGCAGAAGUUUGAAGUAAUGUCCCUCUAUUCCUGUGCUCCUGUUCAGGCAGCGUAAUGCCUGCUGCAGUAGGUCAGGCCCUCAGCUGUUCUAGGAACCCUUCUUGAUUUAUGUGGCCAAUAACACAGUCCACAACAACUCCCCAAACACGGCUUUUGAACCAUUAUCAAAAGGAUUCCCCUCCAGAUGCCUCCAGACCAAGCAGAACUCUGAGGAUUGCCUUUCACUGGCCCUGUGGCAAAGGGGUGGAUGAUUCCAGAAGUCCUUCCCCCCCCCUCAUUCUGGUGCUGCCCAAUUCCCUAACCACUUCACCGAAAGCAAAACACAAAUUUGGGUCAGACUGAGCUCUGCUGCAUGUGCAGUGGCCGGCUGAGAGGUGGGAAUGUAUCCAGAAGGGUCACCGGGUCACCGGGGUCCGAGCUGGACCAGGGGCCAACAGCCAAUACCUUCACAAACCAAACUCACAGGAUUUGAUAAGCCCAAAAUACGUGAGACUUUGCCCUUUUACUGAACUCUCAGAAUUAAAGCAACUGCUGAAGUUACUGGAAAAAAACCAAACAAACAAGGAAACAGAAAACCCCUGUAGCUUUGUCCAAUUCCUGUGUUUCCUGGGAAGUCUGCUUAGCUCUGCCUCCUAGAAAAGGCAUCCAGUCCUACCUCACAAGUUUACCUUGAAAACACUUUAUUUCUGUCAUUCUAAAUUUCUUUCCAGAAGUACAAGAGCUGAGAUGUUCUUGCCAAAUGCAGAUUAAUUCAAGAUAGAAGCAGAACAUCCAACCCAUUUAUAGUGAAAUGACUUAAUAUUAAUCCCAUCAUUAGUAGUGUAAUUCGCUAAAGGAUGUAUGAUAGAGAAGAGAGCUAAGCAGAGCAAACAUCCAGGGUUUAGAAGUGAAUCUUGUAAGCAGCAGUUGCCUUUCAAAGCUUUACAAAUUUA